GACGGAGGAUGCAAGCGUUAUCCGGAAUGAUUGGGCGUAAAGCGUCCGCAGGUGGCAGUUCAAGUCUGCUGUCAAAGACCGGGGCUUAACUUCGGAAAGGCAGUGGAAACUGAACAGCUAGAGUAUGGUAGGGGCAGAGGGAAUUCCUGGUGUAGCGGUGAAAUGCGUAGAUAUCAGGAGGAACACCGGUGGCGAAGGCGGGUCUCUGGGCAACAACUGACGCUGAGGAGCGAAAGCGUGGGGAGCGAACAGG
rnacentral:rRNA from 1 species